rnacentral:lncRNA from 1 species
AUGCCCAGCCUCCCCACAGCUGCAUGUUCUGAGGGGACACGUUCCGUUUUCAGUUCAGGUGGUGUAAUGGUGGUUUGGACUUACAGAAGUGAAUCUAUCUUCACAGCACUGAGUAAGUUGAAAGAAGUCAAUGAACAAGAAUGCACAAUUUCAGCUCGUAAGAAUGAGGCAUUGAAGUGUGUCCAGGAUCUGUGCGUCAAGAGGCAAACUUGGUGAACUUCUGCAUAUAAUAGGUAUUUUUGUACUUCACCUGUCCUGCAAUGUGAACUGUACAUUGUGCAAGGAGCACCAAAGCAUAGGCAGUGACAUUAGGGAGGAAAACAACCAGGGAGGGAGAGUAAACCUAUUUAUGCUGAGAUACGUUGAACAAUUGGCAUUUACUUGAGGGUACUGAACUGCAGCCUAAUUUUGUUCCGGAAGACCCCAUCUGGCUAAGAACUUGUAAGCAGUCCUGUUACAUUUUCUGAUCUUGCUCCUGGCUGAUUAAUCUUACUGAAGAGUAAGAGGUGUGUAUGGAAAAAAACAAACUUGAGGAAAAAAAAAAAAUGUUUCUACGGUAACCUUGAGAAAUCUCUUUAAAAGGAAUUUGUUUCCUGUUUGACCCUCAUCUGUUAGUACAUUUGGAUUUCAUUGUGCAUACAAAAUACCUGGUGGUUGCAUUUCAAACACGUCCUCUGUAGAACCACUGGAAAUGUAAACAAGGUGCCAAAAGCUGAACUGCAGAGGGUAUAUGAGGAGUCUCUCAGCCUGGGGACAUGAACCCGUUCUGCUAAUCAGAGGAACAGGGUUGCAUCCAUUAUUGCAAAUUCCAGUCUCCCUUCUAUCCACAGAAGAGCUGCAGAGCUCAUAACAGGCACGAUGAUCAAACUUUUUAUUUUUUUAUCUUUUAUUUUUUUUAGUCAUUGACCCAUUCUUGCUCUUUACCAUAAUACUGGAGUAUCCCAGAGUUCCUGUGUAUAAAGCUCAUGUCAUUUUAGAGGAAAAAAGCCCUAUUACAGUAUCUGUGUUCAUUACAGAAACGAUAGCAUCAGUGACCUUGAACAGAAACCUUAAGGUGGCAACUGGUUGCAUUGUUCUGUUUACCAGACAACUGCCCCCACGACCACUCUAUCCAGAGCUGUUGUGGCCAGUUUUGCAAAUAAUGUGCAAAAACUCUUGUGCUUGGUGGGAGGGGGCGUCGGUAUGUGUCAGAACUGAAUGCGUCACCUAAGCGAAUGCUUCUGGAUCCACUUGGUUGUGCUUCUCUGUAAAGUGUUUACAUAAGUGCACCCAAAAUAAAUUAUGUUCUGAUUACUUCA